AUUGAACGCUGGCGGCAUGCCUUACACAUGCAAGUCGAACGGCAGCACGGGGGCGAACCCUCGGUGGCGAGUGGCGAACGGGUGAGUAAUACAUCGGAACGUGCCCAGUAGUGGGGAAUAGCCCGGCGAAAGCCGGAUUAAUACCGCAUACGACCUACGGGUGAAAGCGGGGGAUCGCAAGACCUCGCGCUAUCGGAGCGGCCGAUGUCAGAUUAGGUUGUUGGUGGGGUAAAAGCCACCUAAGACCGACCGAUCUGUAGCUGGUCUGAGAGGACGACCAGCCACACUGGGACU
rnacentral:rRNA from 1 species